UGCCAGCAGCCGCGGUAAUACAGAGGGUGCAAACGUUGUUCGGAAUCACUGGGCAUAAAGCGCGCGUAGGCGGCCUGUUAAGUGUGGAGUGAGAUCCCACGGCUCAACCGUGGAACUGCUCUGCAUACUGGCAGGCUCGAGGACGGUAGGGGAGAGCGGAACUCUUGGUGGAGCGGUGAAAUGCGUAGAUAUCAAGGGGAACACCGAUGGCGAAGGCAGCUCUCUGGUCCGUUUCUGACGCUGAGGUGCGAAAGCUAGGGUAGCGAACGGGAUUAGAUA
rnacentral:rRNA from 1 species